rnacentral:rRNA from 1 species
GUUGACCUCGGAUCAGGUAGGAAUACCCGCUGAACUUAAGCAUAUCAAUAAGCGGAGGAAAAGAAACCAACAGGGAUUGCCCUAGUAACGGCGAGUGAAGCGGCAACAGCUCAAAUUUGAAAUCUGGUUCCUUCGGAGCCCGAGUUGUAAUUUGCAGAGGAUGCUUUGGGUUCGGGUUCCUUCCGAGUUCCCUGGAACGGGACGCCAUAGAGGGUGAGAGCCCCGUCUGGUCGGAAACCCAGCCCGUGUAAAGCUCCCUCGACGAGUCGAGUAGUUUGGGAAUGCUGCUCUAAUGGGGAGGUAUACUCCUUCCAAGGCUAAAAUAUUGGGCUAGAGACCGAUAGCG